rnacentral:rRNA from 1 species
CGGACGGGUGAGUAACGCGUGGGUAACCUGCCUCACACUGGGGGAUAACAGUUAGAAAUAGCUGCUAAUACCGCAUAAGCGCACGGUUCCGCAUGGAACAGUGUGAAAAACUCCGGUGGUGUGAGAUGGACCCGCGUCUGAUUAGCCAGUUGGCGGGGUGACGGCCCACCAAAGCGACGAUCAGUAGCCGGCCUGAGAGGGUGAACGGCCACAUUGGGACUGAGACACGGCCCAA